rnacentral:rRNA from 2 species
UUAAGCGACUAAGCGUACACGGUGGAUGCCCUGGCAGUCAGAGGCGAUGAAGGACGUGCUAAUCUGCGAUAAGCGUCGGUAAGGUGAUAUGAACCGUUAUAACCGGCGAUUUCCGAAUGGGGAAACCCAGUGUGUUUCGACACACUAUCAUUAACUGAAUCCAUAGGUUAAUGAGGCGAACCGGGGGAACUGAAACAUCUAAGUACCCCGAGGAAAAGAAAUCAACCGAGAUUCCCCCAGUAGCGGCGAGCGAACGGGGAGCAGCCCAGAGCCUGAAUCAGUGUGUGUGUUAGUGGAAGCGUCUGGAAAGGCGCGCGAUACAGGGUGACAGCCCCGUACACAAAAAUGCACAUGCUGUGAGCUCGAUGAGUAGGGCGGGACACGUGGUAUCCUGUCUGAAUAUGGGGGGACCAUCCUCCAAGGCUAAAUACUCCUGACUGACCGAUAGUGAACCAGUACCGUGAGGGAAAGGCGAAAAGAACCCCGGCGAGGGGAGUGAAAAAGAACCUGAAACCGUGUACGUACAAGCAGUGGGAGCCUCUUUAUGGGGUGACUGCGUACCUUUUGUAUAAUGGGUCAGCGACUUAUAUUCUGUAGCAAGGUUAACCGAAUAGGGGAGCCGAAGGGAAACCGAGUCUUAACUGGGCGUUAAGUUGCAGGGUAUAGACCCGAAACCCGGUGAUCUAGCCAUGGGCAGGUUGAAGGUUGGGUAACACUAACUGGAGGACCGAACCGACUAAUGUUGAAAAAUUAGCGGAUGACUUGUGGCUGGGGGUGAAAGGCCAAUCAAACCGGGAGAUAGCUGGUUCUCCCCGAAAGCUAUUUAGGUAGCGCCUCGUGAAUUCAUCUCCGGGGGUAGAGCACUGUUUCGGCAAGGGGGUCAUCCCGACUUACCAACCCGAUGCAAACUGCGAAUACCGGAGAAUGUUAUCACGGGAGACACACGGCGGGUGCUAACGUCCGUCGUGAAGAGGGAAACAACCCAGACCGCCAGCUAAGGUCCCAAAGUCAUGGUUAAGUGGGAAACGAUGUGGGAAGGCCCAGACAGCCAGGAUGUUGGCUUAGAAGCAGCCAUCAUUUAAAGAAAGCGUAAUAGCUCACUGGUCGAGUCGGCCUGCGCGGAAGAUGUAACGGGGCUAAACCAUGCACCGAAGCUGCGGCAGCGACGCUUAUGCGUUGUUGGGUAGGGGAGCGUUCUGUAAGCCUGUGAAGGUGUGCUGUGAGGCAUGCUGGAGGUAUCAGAAGUGCGAAUGCUGACAUAAGUAACGAUAAAGCGGGUGAAAAGCCCGCUCGCCGGAAGACCAAGGGUUCCUGUCCAACGUUAAUCGGGGCAGGGUGAGUCGACCCCUAAGGCGAGGCCGAAAGGCGUAGUCGAUGGGAAACAGGUUAAUAUUCCUGUACUUGGUGUUACUGCGAAGGGGGGACGGAGAAGGCUAUGUUGGCCGGGCGACGGUUGUCCCGGUUUAAGCGUGUAGGCUGAUUUUCCAGGCAAAUCCGGAAAAUCAAGGCUGAGGCGUGAUGACGAGGCACUACGGUGCUGAAGCAACAAAUGCCCUGCUUCCAGGAAAAGCCUCUAAGCAUCAGGUAACAUCAAAUCGUACCCCAAACCGACACAGGUGGUCAGGUAGAGAAUACCAAGGCGCUUGAGAGAACUCGGGUGAAGGAACUAGGCAAAAUGGUGCCGUAACUUCGGGAGAAGGCACGCUGAUAUGUAGGUGAAGUCCCUCGCGGAUGGAGCUGAAAUCAGUCGAAGAUACCAGCUGGCUGCAACUGUUUAUUAAAAACACAGCACUGUGCAAACACGAAAGUGGACGUAUACGGUGUGACGCCUGCCCGGUGCCGGAAGGUUAAUUGAUGGGGUCAGCGCAAGCGAAGCUCUUGAUCGAAGCCCCGGUAAACGGCGGCCGUAACUAUAACGGUCCUAAGGUAGCGAAAUUCCUUGUCGGGUAAGUUCCGACCUGCACGAAUGGCGUAAUGAUGGCCAGGCUGUCUCCACCCGAGACUCAGUGAAAUUGAACUCGCUGUGAAGAUGCAGUGUACCCGCGGCAAGACGGAAAGACCCCGUGAACCUUUACUAUAGCUUGACACUGAACAUUGAGCCUUGAUGUGUAGGAUAGGUGGGAGGCUUAGAAGUGUGGACGCCAGUCUGCAUGGAGCCGGCCUUGAAAUACCACCCUUUAAUGUUUGAUGUUCUAACGUGGACCCGUAAUCCGGGUUGCGGACAGUGUCUGGUGGGUAGUUUGACUGGGGCGGUCUCCUCCUAAAGAGUAACGGAGGAGCACGAAGGUUGGCUAAUCCUGGUCGGACAUCAGGAGGUUAGUGCAAUGGCAUAAGCCAGCUUGACUGCGAGCGUGACGGCGCGAGCAGGUGCGAAAGCAGGUCAUAGUGAUCCGGUGGUUCUGAAUGGAAGGGCCAUCGCUCAACGGAUAAAAGGUACUCCGGGGAUAACAGGCUGAUACCGCCCAAGAGUUCAUAUCGACGGCGGUGUUUGGCACCUCGAUGUCGGCUCAUCACAUCCUGGGGCUGAAGUAGGUCCCAAGGGUAUGGCUGUUCGCCAUUUAAAGUGGUACGCGAGCUGGGUUUAGAACGUCGUGAGACAGUUCGGUCCCUAUCUGCCGUGGGCGCUGGAGAACUGAGGGGGGCUGCUCCUAGUACGAGAGGACCGGAGUGGACGCAUCACUGGUGUUCGGGUUGUCAUGCCAAUGGCACUGCCCGGUAGCUAAAUGCGGAAGAGAUAAGUGCUGAAAGCAUCUAAGCACGAAACUUGCCCCGAGAUGAGUUCUCCCUGACUCCUUGAGAGUCCUGAAGGAACGUUGAAGACGAUGACGUUGAUAGGCCGGGUGUGUAAGCGCAGCGAUGCGUUGAGCUAACCGGUACUAAUGAACCGUGAGGCUUAACCUU